rnacentral:lncRNA from 1 species
AACCUGUUAAGCCACAACAGGAACUCUGAUACAGGUCUAUUCUUAUGGUCUCUCUUCUUGUGUGAGUUUUGACAGAUUUGUGCCUUUCAAGAAAUAGCUCCAUUUCAUCUAGAUUAUCAAAUUUGCAGUCAAAGGCCAGGAGAGUCAAACCCACCACCUCACGGUUACUAGUUGGGUUCACAACCCAGUGAGCCACAAUGGAAACUCCUCCCUGGAGUUAACAGUGAGUUGUCCACAAUGAGCCUCCAGCAAUUCAUCGAUGGCAACCCAGUUUUCCCUGCUCCAACUGGUUGGCACAAGGAAGGUUUCUGUUUCUGUAAGUUUUUUUUUUUUCUUCUGAUAAUUAUUUAUUUAUUUGGGGGCUGCACCCAUGACAUGUGUAAGUUCCAGGGCUGGCAUCGAACCCAUGCCACAGCUGUGACCCAAGCCACGGGAGUGAGACAACACUAGAUCCUUAAACUACUGUGCCACCAAGGGAACUCCUGCUUCUGUAAGUUGUGUUUCUCUGCACAUGCCUGUUGGGCUCCAAUUUUCAAGCCAGCAGUUUGCUCUAUGACCUCACUUAAAGAUUUAAGAAAUAUUUAUUUUUCAGUUUGUUCGGCUUUUUACUUGUUUUUAGCACAGGAUGGUCAUUUCUAAGCUUCUUACAUGCUAUAUCAAAACAAUCCACUUUUUAUUAGAUUAUUUAUAUGUUUAUUGCCAAGUGAUAAGUUUUUUAUGUACUCUGGAUACAAAGCCCCUUGGCUGACAUAUGACUUACAAAUAUUUUCUCCCAUCUGUGUGUUGUCUUUUCACUUUCUUGGUGGUGUCCUUUGCAAUGCAAAAGUUUUUCAUUUUGAUGGACUCCAACUUACUUUUUCUUUUCUUGUUUAUGCUUUUGCUGGUAUAUCUAAAAAACAUUGCCUAAUUUGGUCAUAAUUACUGACUGUGUUUUCUUCUAAGAGUUUUACAGUUCUAGUUAUUACAUUUAGGUCAUUGGUUAAUUUUUGUAUAUGGUGGGAGAGAGGGGCCCCAAGUUCACUCUUUUGCAUGUGGCUAUCUAGUUGUCUCAGAUCAUUUGUUGAAAAGACUAUUCAUUCCCCGUAUGUACUGAUUGUUCACAUUGGUCUUAACUCUCUACGACGAUGCAUCACCCUUAUUUUCCACAUCAUUCUCUCUUGUUGUUGUUUUUUGUUCUGUUUUGUUUUGGUCUUUUUAGGGCCAUACCCAUGGCAUGUGGAAGUUCCCAGGCUAGGGGCUGAAUUGGAGCUAUGGCUGCUGGCCUACACCACAGCCACAGCAACUCGGGAUUCGAGCCGUGUCUGCGACCAACGCCAGAUCCUUAACCCACUGAGUGAGGCCAGGGACGGAACCCACAUCCUCAUGGAUACCAGUUGAGUUCGUUACCGCUGAGCCACAACAGGCAUUCCUCCACAUCAUUUUCUUAAGUAUUCGCACAGCUCUGUACAUUUUGCUGACAGAACCUCAGAAAAGACUAAGAAGCUAUCUGGAGAUACAGAAUACCAUAUAGAAUGCCAUAGACAUAUGCAUCAUACCACAGAGAGAGAAAAAAAGAAAGUCUCUGAAGCUGUCUGUGAGGUUUGAUACAUUUAUUCAUCUACUCAACUCUCAUGUAAGGGACUCUUGUUCUAAAUGUAUAGGUUCUGGGUUAGGCAAGGAGAUACAAAGAUUAACCAGACCCUUUUUCCCUGCCUUCAUAAAAAAAUGAAAUAGUUGGGCAUUUUUAAAAGUAUGAAUUUACUCAGCCCAAGGAGCACAAUUGUUUCGGUUUUACACACAACACAGAUGAGAUAUAAAGGAGAGAAAUGACUCACUGGGGUCACGGUUAUUGGGGCAGAAAGGUGGGAAGAGGGUCACCGACCUGAAGGGAGAAAAGAGUCCGGGCCCAGGGUCUCAAAUGGCCAAUAAGCCAGUGACCAGUCACAAGGUCUGGCUGGGGCCACAUUAUGACUUUCACGGGCCCCCCAGUACUUUCGCUGUUGAGGAACCCUUCCUCCACUAAAAAACAAUUUUAAAAUACAUUUUACGACUGCAUUGAUACACACAUGUAUAAUCCAAACUGGAUUAUAAUCCACUUUUUUCUUCUGAUUAAAAGAAAUUAAGACAUCUUUAUGGGUCCCUGGGCACUGUGCCUACAGGUCCUGCUGUCUUCCCCACAGCCACGCACCAAGAGUUCUCUCCCAACUGCCAGGUCACUUUGCUCUGCUCUUUCUGAGAUUCUGUUCUCUGCUGGGCCUAACUGAUCUAGUGGCAUGAGGUUUCGGGUCACACUAAAUCUCACAGUGCCCAAACCCACAAAACACGGUAACCUCACUCUAUCCAAAUAAGCACUGUAAAGUUAUUAGACAAUCAUUUGACAAUAAUGCGUAUUCCGUGUUCAGGAAAGUCGUAGAGAUGGUCAUGAAUGAUCGUACCCAGAGAAACAGACACGGCGUGACCUACAAAUCCUUAACCUACAUGUGCAGCAGGCGCCUGGCACCUUGAAGACAGCCAGGUAAGUAACUGUUCACCAUUCACUCAUUCAAUCAUAAGACAGGCAUAAAACGAAGUCUCUUCCCUUAUAAAACUUACCAUCCAAUGAAGACAACAGAUAACAAGUGAAUAAGCAUUUAUCUGUAUGAAAACAUAUAUAUAUAUGAAAUGAUUUCCUGUACAGUGUGGUGAAGAAAAAUAAAGCAGGUAAGAGAAAAAUGAAAAGGGAGACUGUUAUGUAGCUACAUGCAGACCCUCUGGUUUCCCCAAAAAAGUUUCCAACAACAGGAGAACACACUGGGCAGGCUGUUCUCCUCAACUAGAGCAUGAAGUAUGUCUUACUCCCUUACUCCGGUUUUUCACCCCAAGAAAUGGCUUCAGGGCAACAACUACCUUUUCCUCGGCGAUGAGAAAAACAGUUGUAGGUCCUAACCUGGCAUAGCUAUUUUACUUGCUAUAUGUCAACGAAUAGUGCACUUCUCUCUGUGCCUCAGUUUCCCCAGAUAUAAGAUAAGGAGGUUGGCUUAAAUAAUUUUCAAGAUCCUUUAAAGCUAAAAUGCAGUAGUAACUCACAGCAAACCUGCUAACCCCAAAGCUUUGGAGUCAGCUACAAUACUCUGGCUUUCCAAACUGCCACGGUUUCCCUAGUUAGCACAGAAGUAAAAGUAAAAUGUCUUCAGUGUGGUGAGAUGUGAUAUAACAGGAUGCUACCAAAUUAAAUCAAUAAAAAUUUGCCAUCGGGACUGUCCAUUACUCAGGGAAUGGCCUCUAGCCCUGGCUUCAAGUACCUGCCAAAUGGAACUACAAAGGGCCCUCAACUCUGAAACCUCAACAGCCAGGGCAACCCCGCAUUUCAGAGAUCUCGAUUGAUACUUCCAAGUUAGAGGCUGAUCAACCAUGCGGCUAGAGACCUCACUCUUUCACAAAACGUUAGAGAAGAAUAAACCCAACCUUUGCCCUUGAGGUAGUCACAGUCCAGGGAUGGAGAGGAGACGGACUCUUAAACAUGACAUGAUAACCACUGACAUAAACACAGUGCUGCGUAAGCCCAGAGAAAGGAGAUGUGAGCUGGUGUGAAUACAGCCAAACCACCAAGCUGGCUCCCUGGCUCCUGGGGAAAGAGACUGCGGUCUGCUGCGUGAUGAGGAAAACACGUUCAGUCCAAAGUUUCACAGGUUACCCCUGUCUGUAGCUCCCCAUUCUCCUCUUGCUCACAUUCUUCUCCGACUCCCUGGCCCCGCCAAGAAUUCAAGGCCUCUAAGUCAACGUGGAACUACCUCACUUUGCAGACCUCAUAAAUCAGCUGAGGAUCAUGCAGGUAGGUAUGCAAUACGCUCAGCCAAACUGAAAAGCCUAACACGGACAGCGCACUUUGGGCAGUGGAGUGAGAGCAGGUGCCGGCUGCAAUAACCGCUAUGGCUGCUGUCUGUCAUCCAGUCCCAGCCCUCCCACCAUCACCAGAAAGCAUGUCCCCUACGCCAGCUAAACUGGAAAGCUUUUUUCUAAAUUGAAGCAUAGUUGAUUUCCAAUGUUGUGGAAAGCUUUUUUAAUGAAACUUUUCAAAUUUAUUCAAAAGUGGAAGGAACAGUUUAAUGACCUCUCUCGCCCUUCAACAGUUAUCAAAUGUGGGGGUACCCAGUGUUCACUUCUUUGGUCCUUGGAUUCCUUUCCUGUAAAACUCCUACUUCUCAGACUGGCUUUCUUCCCACCUGCCCCCCCGCCCCGGCCCUUUCCUGUCUGCACUCCAGGCUCCCACACACUCUACACUCUCCUAACCAUCCUUAAAGACCCACCCCAGACAUCCCCUCUCUCUCCCAGAACAGAACUUUCUAUAGCCUUCUAUGAAAGGCCACGUCUCCUGGUUCAGACUUUAUCUCAAGCUCUCCCCUCGGCUGCUGCAGAGACUUCCGAGGUGAGCUGCCCGACUCGAGUCCUGCCAGAACAGAUUCCAAACGGAGCAGCCACAGUGACCUUUAUCAGACACGCCCGUGGCCACCUCAGCCCUCUACUCUGACAAACUCUGCUAACUCUCUACUGCCUUCAGAAUAAAGUCCAAACUCCUUUGUACAACACACCAGGCCCUUCAUAUUCUGGUAUUCCAGCUAUGAGUCACCUGCCACAAAUGGCUUUUACUCAAGCCACUCUCCAGCUAACAUUCGAGCACGCGCGUCCCUCAGGGCUUUGGCGGCUGCUGUCUUCUCUCCCUAGAAUUCUUUCCUCGCCCUCACUGCCCAGGUCGUUUUUAUUCCCUCCUUAAGAUGCAGCUCAAAUAUCACCUCCUUGGUGACACAUUCUCCAAUGUUAUUCAUUCACGCAUACCCAUUCAACAGCGGUUACCCGAUCAACUGUUAAGCAACAGACGGGGACACGGUAAUAAACACACAACUGAAGCGUCCAGCAGAUCUCCUCAGACAGAGUAAUUCCUUUCCUCCUCGGUUCUCCGGCAGAAAUGUUCGAUCUGCGCAAACCUCUAGGGUCACGUUUAUCACUUUUUAUACUUGUUUCUGAGUCUGUUUCCACUAUUAGACUCGAAUCAUUUUGAGGCCAAAGAUGGUCUCUUAUUUCUAAAGGUCUGUUGAGGUACAGUGUCCGUUUCAGGUGGACAACUCAAUGAUUGUUCAUAUAUUUACAAAGCUGUGCAACCAUCUUAUUUUAAAUCAUUUCCACCACACUAAAAAGAAAGCUCAGAUUCACUGGCCAACUCCCUACUCUUACCCCUAGACCUAAGCAACCACUAAUCUACCUUUUAUCUCUCUGUUCUGGACCUUUCAUAUAAAUGAAGUCAUACGACAUUCUGUCUUUUCUGACUGGCUUCUUUUACACAGCAUAAUGUUUCUCAAGGACUACCAGGAGCUCCCUUGUGGCACAGCAGGUUAAGGACCCAUCAUUGUCAUUGCAAGAGCGCAGGCAGCUGCUGUGGUGAAGUUUCAACCCCUGGCCUGGCAACUUCCAUAUGCCAUAAGUGCAGCCAAAAAAAAAGGAUAAUCCAUGUUACAGCAUGUAUCAGCAGUUCACUUUUUCUUGUCCAGUAAUCUCCCCCUGCAUGGAUGUACAUUUUAUUUAUCCACUUACCAGCUGAUAGACAUUUGAAUUGUUUCUACUUCUUGGCUACGAACAUUUAUAUGUAAGCUUUUAUGGGGACAGGUUUUUAUUUCUUGAGUAUAUACCUGGGGUGGCAUUACAGGGUCAUAUGGGAACCUAUGCUUAAUCUUUUGAGGAACUGCCAAACUCUUAGCUGCACCAAUUUACAUUUCUACAAACAGUAUAUGAAGAUUCCACUCUCUCCACACCCACAACACUUGUUAUAACAUCUUUUUGAUCACAGCAUCAUAGUGGGUAUGAAGUAGUAUUUCACUGCAGGUUUUUUGUUUGUUUCCCCUUUCUAGGGCCACACCGGCAGCACGUGGAAGUUACCAGGCUAGGGGUUGAAUCAGAGCUACGCCUGCCAGCCUACACCAUAGCCACAGCAACAGUGGAUCCAAGCCACAUCUGUGACUAACUCCCAAGCUCACGGCAACAUCGGAUCCUUAACUCACUGAGCAAGGCCAGGGAUUGAACCCACAUCUUUAAGGAUACUAGUUGGGCUCUU